UGAACGGGGGAACGGCGAACGGCUCAGUAAUGUUGCGCUGAUUUGCUCUAUGCGUGAGAACUAACCACGGUAACCUGUGGCUAAAAGCGUAGAAUAAGGUGCAAUCCUAUCAGUUUGUUGGUAGUGUAAAGGACUACCAAGACUAUGACGGGUAACGGGAAAUCAGGGUUUGAUUCCGGAGAGGGAGCCUGAGAGAUGGCUCCCACGUCCAAGGACGGCAGCAGGCGCGAAAAUUGUCCACUCUUAGUGAGGAGACAGUUAUGAGACGUGAAAAAAAGAGUGAAGUGUAAAAAUCUUUACGUGAAGCAAUUGGAGGGCAAGUUUUGGUGCCAGCAGCCGCGGUAAUUCCAACUCCAAGAGUGUCUAUGGUGGAUGCUGCAGUUAAAGGGUCCGUAGUCGUAGAUGCAAUUAAAAAGUGAUGAUAAAAGUCAUUGAGUUUGUUACAUUGUUAGCGGAACGGAUAGGGAGCAUGGUAUAGGUAGGCCAAGAAUGAAAUCUCAAGACCCUACCUGGACCAACGGAGGCGAAAGCGAUGCUCUUAGACGUAUCUGUGGAUCAAGGACGAAGGCAGGAGUAUCGAAAGUGAUUAGACACCGCUGUAGUUCCUGCAGUAAACGAUGCCGACAAUUUCAACUGAGUGUAUUGGUUGGAGUGGGAGAAAUCUUAGUUUUCGGGCUCUGGGGAUAGUACGCUCGCAAGGGUGAAACUUAAACGAAAUU
rnacentral:rRNA from 1 species